AUUUGUGCUCCUAUAUAUAUACUAAAAAUGGAACGAUACAGAGAAGAUUAGCAUGGACCCUGCGCAAGAUGACACACAAAUUCGUGAAGCAUAAAAAAAAAAA